AAGGUGAACACAACUGGUUUGGUUUACUUUUCCCAUCGGCCUGUGUCAAUCGAGGUUGAGUUUAGUGAGGGUUGAAAGUUUUCGAUCUAGAUUGCAGAUAACUAUUGUCACUUUAUGCAAACUGAAAGUAUGCGUUGUUGCGUCUUUGUUUUUGUGGGCAUUUGACUGAACAGCCUAGACAAAUAUUGCUACCAACAUGGCACUUCGAAACAGACCACCGCAGUGUUAGAUGACUGACAAGAUCUAUGGGGGGGCCCCCUUUGGGCCCCCCCAUACCAACUUAGUCUUCAAAGGAAUCUAGUGCCAUGGGACUCCAGUGUCUUCAAAACAUCCUCGGGAUACAUGUGCAUGAAUGGCCAACCGAAGGGUUGAUCUGGAAGCCACCACGGUCCACGCAGUAAUCUGCUGCGUGGGCGUGGCUUCCAGAGCCAUCUUUCGGUCUUGGUCAGGAUUUGUUACAGUUGCCCUUCAAUGUAGCAGGCUACGGGUUUCUGAAGAAGCCUGCUUUACGUAGCAUUGGAGUACAAAUAUUGUGCAAAAUGCUCAUGUAAUUGCACUAGCACUGGUAACCUAUAGAUUAGCUUAGUUUAACGUCAUUCGGUGCUGUCUGUCAAAUGUGUGGCUUACUUUAAGUCCACAAGGCCCUCUGGUAAACCACGUUGGAACACCCCUGGACAAGGUGAUUAGUCACUGGGUGUGUGCUAAAGUUAUGUUCCAUUUUUCACUAGUUGGUUAAGGUUUGGUAUAAUUGUUUGAAUGCUAGCGACGUGAUGGCGUAUGUACAAGAGCCUACCGUGGCCAGGCAACAGUUGCGACGGCCACGGCCAGAUGGCCUAGUGUGAGUGCAACCUUGAUUGCAUUUGUAUACUGUUUACCAUUGGAUGUUUAUGCAAUUUGGCUUAAUUCAGCCACUGUAAAGCUGCAUUUGACUAUUCCAGGGUCGUUUUGUACAGGCUUUCAAUUGACCAUGUUGACUAGUUUGUGGGAAGUUUUUUUUUUUUUUUCUUUCUUGCAAUCCAACGGUUGCGACCACUUAUGCAACUGGGCUGUGAACCUUGCAAUUCUAGUUGCAUAUUUGUACACGCAAGCUUGUCCAUUUCUAUCGCCAUCACUAACACUAGCUUCAGCAUUUCCUUGUAGGCCAUUAGCUGACUUGUGUAUUGGAGCGAUGAUUUGGCUAUUUUAAGAUGCUUGAAAACCUAAAAUAAAGCAAAAUGCGUGUCUGGUGUGCAAGAGCCAAUUUGUUGGCUUGCAGUAGUCGAGGAGUUGCCGUAGGUCGUAAGCCAUCUGGAGGUGGUGGCAAUGGAGGCUUGUGGUAGAUCUGCCAUCCAAGAAAGGUUAAUUCUUCUGAAGCAUGAUUAAUAGUUUAGUAAAUUGAAUCUAUUCAUAUCUAUAAAAUCCAAGACUGCAGCCAGUAACUUGGAUCGCAAUAUGUGGAAAGUAUUGGUCUUCAUUUGUAACAACAGAAUAAUUAACAUGACUAACUGGGUUUCUUCCAUUUUCUAACUAGGGGGACUUGACUGGUGAGUCUACUGGAUUAAUCAGUAGCGGUACUUUGCCCAACAGAUUUGAUGGCAUGACUACAGGGUGACAAAGACAAUUAUUCCCUGCCUAUCAAAAGAGACUUCUAAAACAUAUUUGCUAGAACAGUUCCUAUACUUUUUGUAUAAUUUGGUCAUGCUGCAAAUUUACUUUUUGUAGUUGCUCCAUAUUUAGUUCUUUGACAGCCUCACCUGCUAGAAAAGUCUAUUCAAAUCGGCUAAAUAUAAUGAACUAAAUUAAUAGCCAUAAAAUGUUGUCACUCAUACUAAUGGCAAAUACCCCCUUUCAGUUGGUGGUUCAACACUGAUGUCUCUGUAGGCUUGAGGGAGAGCUCACAAGUAAAUUACACGGAUGUCCUGGAGCAAUUGGGAUUACACUUUUAUUUAGUCUACCUGACCAGGGACAUCUUUGAACUAUAGGUCACCUGACCCAAACUUUUCACUCUUGUUAGGUUGUCCUUUUCUCUGGUUUUAACCCUAAAGGGCUGAAAAUAUCAACAUUUCAGGUAUUCUGUUUGGAUAAUGUGUAAAACUUGUGGCUUCACUAAUAAAAAAAAAAAUUAACAAAUGUAUUUUUCUCAAUGUGGUUAGCCUAUUUAAAGAUUUGUAUGCAAAAUAUUUCUGCUCAAUUUGUGGUCAGUGAAACUCAUUUUUUUUAAUUUGAUUAAACACAACUAUGGGUUAAAGGUAUUUGCUUUGGGCAUCUUUUGAUAUUUUUAGAAUCUAGCUCCAUUGCCGUUAGAAAUGGUGUCUCCCAGUACUGCAAAGUGCUUCCACAAGUUUAAAAAAGAAUGGGCAGAAAAAUAACUGCCAACUAAAUCUAUUUAACAUG
ensembl:lncRNA